AUGAUAUAUUGCCAGCAAGUGUCUGGAGGUGAACAGGGCUGUCUUUUGGGGCAGACGUGUCGUCUCCAGCUCACCAAGGUCCCCUCCACACCCACAGGCUUACCGACACCAGGAGGCUGACGCCAUUGACACAUGGUCUGCACAACUCGAGGUUCAUCGAAUGUUCCCUAAACUGAAGAGGGUGGAAGGCAAAGGACCAGCUCUGGGAUUUGGUGUAGGUUCCAGAUGACGAAAGGUACACCAGUCAGAGUUCUUCUCAAGAGUUUUCAAGCUGGAUCCGAGAGAGAGGAAACGCAUCUUCCUUCAUGCUCUCCGAGUCAUUAAGGCAAUGAAAAAGCUGGGCAUGCCCUCAAAGGUAUUCUGCUCUACUGACUUGAACCUGCGUGUGAGAAGAGUUAGCCCAGAGAGGUUUCGCUCUGCUUUCCACUGUCCAAGCUGGUGCCAGCAUCCCCAUCUCUGAUGCCCAUUCUGGCUGGACCGUUCUGGGAAUGCAUCUUGAAGCAAACCCUGACCUUCCCAGAAGCCAAAGCGGGGUGGCAGUCUGGCCUGGAGGGACGGACCUGCCACGGAGGGCCGAGCACCCUGAAACCCUCAGAGCCCAAGCUCUGUCCAGCUUCUUAUCUUGACUACGGAUGGCAUCCAGUCGACCAAACAGAAAGAUGGUUAAAGUGCUCAGCCCUACUCUCUCAAGGUCCCCGAGGCACAUGGAAAGUAGGAAAGGGGGACCAAGGCUCAUUUCGAUGUCAUUCCUGGGAAGCGUUUCAUGCAAUAGCCGGAGAAUUGGGUUGAAACCCAAAGUCGUGACCCAGAGUCUUUGGCCAAGUGCUAACUUCCUACCUGUUACUGUUUCCUUUUCGAGCAACUGGAAAAACAACCCACCGCCUUUAUUCUUGACCAGAGGGCAAUAUGAGAAUCAGAAUUACCGGGCCCCUCACUUCCAGUGACGUUGUGAAACAAAAGGUUUCCCCACGGUGAGCCCUUCAGAGAACAAGGUCAUGUUGAUCUACGGCAGUGACUCACACCAGGCUUUGCCCUGUCUCCUCUGCAAAGACUCAAGAGUAAAACUUCGUAAUAGUUCCACGAUGGAAGGCAAAGGGCCCCGUCGGCACUGAGGAGCGUGCUAAUCAUUCAGCUGGAUCACUUGGUCUUUGCCUUUUAAUUAUCGAAUGAAAAAUAUUCUAAAACUACAGGAAAGACUUCUUUGGGGUCAGUAUGAACUAUUCUUCCCUUCAUUCAGCAAGAAAAGAAUAUCUGUGUGAUAUAAUAAGAAAUAUAUAUGUGUGUCUCUGUCCUCCGUUCUAAUAUUUGGUCUUUGACCCUAGUUCCUGACACAGAGUUCCUAAAACCCAUGUAAUUUCCAGGGUGAUUGGAGUGUCUUCCAUUCUGACGAGGACACUCCUGGAUGGCUCCUGGAUGGGGACUCAUCACCAAAAAGUCCAAGCCAUGAUUAGAAGCUUGGAACUUUCAGCAUUGCCC